CUUUCUUUCAAAAAAUGGUAAGAAAUCUUUUUUAUGCACUUGCCAUGGAAAAUGCUUAGCUCAUCAAAUUCCUUGUGCUAAAAGGAGCUAAACCAACACUCUUCCUGUCAUUCCCAGCUUCCUAUUUUAAUGUUCUUUUUUUCUCUGUUCACCAUUCACACUUCCACCCUCUCCAGUUACAUGGCAAAGGGCUCACAACUCCCAGACACUGAGCCAGCCAGCAUUCACAGAGAGC
rnacentral:lncRNA from 1 species